rnacentral:rRNA from 1 species
AUUGAACGCUGGCGGCAUGCCUUACACAUGCAAGUCGAACGGUAACGGGCCUUCGGGUGCCGACGAGUGGCGAACGGGUGAGUAAUACAUCGGAACGUGCCCGCUCGUGGGGGAUAACGAGGCGAAAGCUUUGCUAAUACCGCAUACGAUCUACGGAUGAAAGCAGGGGACCGCAAGGCCUUGCGCGGACGGAGCGGCCGAUGGCGGAUUAGGUAGUUGGUGGGAUAAAAGCUUACCAAGCCGACGAUCUGUAGCUGGUCUGAGAGGAUGAUCAGCCACACUGGGACUGAGACACGGCCCAGACUCCUACGGGAGGCAGCAGUGGGGAAUUUUGGACAAUGGGCGCAAGCCUGAUCCAGCCAUGCCGCGUGCAGGAUGAAGGCCUUCGGGUUGUAAACUGCUUUUGUACGGAACGAAAAGCCUUCUUUUAAUACAGGAGGGUCAUGACGGUACCGUAAGAAUAAGCACCGGCUAACUACGUG